rnacentral:rRNA from 1 species
GACGAACGCUGGCGGCGUGCCUAAUACAUGCAAGUCGAGCGCUGAAGGGUGGUGCUUGUACCAACUGUAUGAGCAGCGAACGGGUGAGUAACGCGUGGGGAAUCUGCCUUUGAGCGGGGGACAACAUUUGGAAACGAAUGCUAAUACCGCAUAAAAACUUUAAACACAAGUUUUAAGAUUGAAAGAUGCAAUUGCAUCACUCAAAGAUGAUCCCGCGUUGUAUUAGCUAGUUGGUGAGGUAAAGGCCCACCAAGGCGAAGAUACAUAGCCGACCUGAGAGGGUGAACGGCCAACAUGGGAACGGAGACAGGCCCAAACCCCCUAGGGGAGGAGCAGGAGGGGAAUCUUGGCAAAGGGGGGAAGUCUUGCCGAAGCAAGCCCGGGGGGUGGAGGAAGGUCUCCGAUCGUAAAACUCCGUUUGUAGGGAAGAAAGUUGGUGGGAGUGAAAAGCUCAUAACGUGACGGUACCUAACCAGAAAGGGACGGCUAACUACGUG